UAGGGAAUCUUACGCAAUGGGCGAAAGCCUGACGGAGCAACGCCGCGUGAGUGAUGAAGGUCUUCGGAUCGUAAAACUCUGUUAUUAGGGAAGAACAAAUGUGUAAGUAACUAUGCACGUCUUGACGGUACCUAAUCAGAAAGCCACGGCUAACUACGUGCCAGCAGCCGCGGUAAUACGUAGGUGGCAAGCGUUAUCCGGAAUUAUUGGGCGUAAAGCGCGCGUAGGCGGUUUUUUAAGUCUGAUGUGAAAGCCCACGGCUCAACCGUGGAGGGUCAUUGGAAACUGGAAAACUUGAGUGCAGAAGAGGAAAGUGGAAUUCCAUGUGUAGCGGUGAAAUGCGCAGAGAUAUGGAGGAACACCAGUGGCGAAGGCGACUUUCUGGUCUGUAACUGACGCUGAUGUGCGAAAGCGUGGGGAUCAAACAGG
rnacentral:rRNA from 1 species